rnacentral:rRNA from 1 species
AUUGAACGCUGGCGGCAGGCCUAACACAUGCAAGUCGAGCGGAGCGGCGGACGGGCGAGUAAUGCCUAGGAAUCUGCCUGGUAGUGGGGGAUAACGUCCGGAAACGGGAGCUAAUACCGCAUACUAUCAGAUGAGCCUAGGUCGGAUUAGCUAGCUGGUGGGGUAAGGGCCUACCAAGCCGACGAUCCGUAACUGGUCUGAGAGGAUGAUCAGUCACACUGGAACUGAGACACGGUCCAGACUCCUACGGGAGGCAGCAGUGGAGAAUAUUGGACAAUGAGCAGAAGCCUGUUCCAGCCAUGGCGCGUGUGUGAAGAAGGGCUUCGGAUCGUAAAGCACUACAAGUUGGGAGGCGGUACCUACAGAAUAAGCACCGGCUAACUCCGUGCCAGCAGCCGCGGUAAUUC